UACGGGGGGAGCAAGCGUUGUUCGGAUUUACUGGGCGUAAAGGGCGCGUAGGCGGCCACCGCAAGUCGACUGUGAAAUCUCCGGGCUUAACCCGGAAAGGUCAGCCGAUACUGCGGGCUAGAGUCCGGAAGGGGCAACUGGAAUUCCAGGUGUAGCGGUGAAAUGCGUAGAUAUCGAGAGGAACACCUGCGGCGAAGGCGGGUUGCUGGGCUGACACUGACGCUGAGGCGCGAAAGCCAGGGGAGCGAA
rnacentral:rRNA from 1 species